rnacentral:rRNA from 1 species
CCUACGGGAGGCAGCAGUGGGGAAUUUUGGACAAUGGGCGAAAGCCUGAUCCAGCCACGCCGCGUGAGUGAAGAAGGCCUUCGGGUUGUAAAGCUCUUUUAGUCGGAAAGAAAGAGUCGCAAUGAAUAAUUAUGAUUUAUGACGGUACCGACAGAAAAAGCACCGGCUAACUACGUGCCAGCAGCCGCGGUAAUACGUAGGGUGCGAGCGUUAAUCGGAAUUACUGGGCGUAAAGGGUGCGCAGGCGGUCUUGCAAGUCAGAUGUGAAAGCCCCGGGCUUAACCUGGGAAUUGCGUUUGAAACUACAAGGCUAGAGUGCAGCAGAGGGGGGUGGAAUUCCAUGUGUAGCAGUGAAAUGCGUAGAGAUGUGGAAGAACACCGAUGGCGAAGGCAGCUCCCUGGGUUGACACUGACGCUCAUGCACGAAAGCGUGGGGAGCAAACAGGAUUAGAUACCCUGGUAGUCCACGCCCUAAACGAUGUCAACUAGUUGUCGGAUCUAAUUAAGGAUUUGGUAACGUAGCUAACGCGUGAAGUUGACCGCCUGGGGAGUACGGUCGCAAGAUUAAAACUCAAAGGAA